UGCGUAGGCGGCUUUUUAAGUUUGGUGUGAAAUCUCCCGGCUCAACUGGGAGGGUGCGCCGAAUACUGAGAAGCUAGAGUGUGGGAGAGGAAAGUGGAAUUCCUGGUGUAGCGGUGAAAUGCGUAGAUAUCAGGAGGAACACCGGUGGUGUAAACGGCUUUCUGGACCAUAACUGACGCUGAGGCACGAAAGCGUGGGUAGCAAACA
rnacentral:rRNA from 1 species